CCAGUUAAAAUAAUAUUCCACAGCAUAAACAAAUGUAGCACAUUUUUGACCAGUUAAAAUAAUAUUUCACAGCUCAUUGGAAAGGGUACCACUGAUGCCUCUCUUUUUACUAACCAUCUUGAAACUUCAUCAAUUUUGGGUUUCAUCCUAGGGAUAACAUGUAUUUGUGAAUAAAGUGAGUCCAGGUACAAAGGGAAAUGAAGUGAGACAGGGGACCGGGCACAUUUACAAAGGGAAAUAAAGCCCACAGCACAUAGCUAGGGUGUGGGAACCAAAAAUCUUCUCACUCCCUUUAUAAUUCUUUUCUGUGUAGUAUUGCCAGAGAUUACAAAUAACAGGGUCAGGUUGGCGUGCCAUGGGUUACAGUGGUCAGAAAAUUGUAGACAUGACAAAGGUGGAUGGCUUCAUUGUUCAGCCAAGUUUUGAUCAAGAUCUUUCAAAGCUGCCAGUGCCAUGGCAAGGUGGGGCAGGUGUGUUCAGAAUGAUUAAAGGUGUUCUGCAUUCAAAACAGUAACAACAGUACUGUAGUCCAUGCCACAGACUUCACUCAAAAACAUGAGUAAGGUCUGGACACCUUCCUGCAGGGUCACAGCCUCUUUACAGGCAAACAUCUGUCCCCGAGUCCCUUGUGCACUUUCUGUUAAACUCAGUUACAAGACAAACUCUUGUCCAGGCACAGAGACUACAUCUGACCUGGAGAUUGGCAGAGCUGAGGCAAGAGGUGGCACCAAACAGAAGGAGGUGGUGGUUACACUCUCUCCACUGUGAGUAAGAAGCAGUGUUGAUGGGACACUCGCCACAGCCUUCAAACUCUCACACCUGUCCUUCCAUCCUUGGAACAAGCCAUAGGGAAAGGUAGCUCUUGGAGUAUUCUGAAGGGAGCCUGGCCUGGAGAUGUGAUAUGGAAGAUGAGGUCAAGGAAAACUCCUCCCUGACAGAGACAGAGGGAAAGGGCAACAAGAGAGAAUGUUCUACAAAAACAUCCAGAAAAAGAAGCCUUCCUUCCCAUGGUUGUCUUACCAGGCCUGCUUGGGAGGUUCCAUGCAAUAGCAUGGCCUGGCCCCAACCUUGUGAGUUAGACUCAUCUGGUAUGCAGGAGAACAUUUCCUGAAUGGGGUGGAUGUGCAGCCUGAGCUGAGAUCCGCCAGAGACUUCUACUGCCCUAGGACAGAGCUGCGUGUCUGCCCCACGCUGUAUCCAGGCCUCUGCCUUGCUCUGCUAUGGCUGAGAGGAGGAUGAGGAGUUCAGAAAUAACGUGUUCAUGACUCCACAAUUCAGUGUGAAUGUCUUCUCCAGCUACACAGGGACCCUUGGUGGGGGUAAACGUGACCAAAUGGGAGCGAUGGCUCAGUGGGUAAAGAUGGCUACAACAAACCCAACCACCUGAGUUCAAUCCUAGGACCUUCAUGAUG